rnacentral:rRNA from 1 species
AACACGUAUGCAACCUACCUUAUAUUGGGGGAUAGCCUUUCGAAAGGGAGAUUAAUACCGCAUAAUAUAUUUGAAUGGCAUCAUUUAGAUAUUAAAGAUUUAUUGAUAUAAGAUGGGCAUGCGUCCAAUUAGUUAGUUGGCGGGGUAACGGCUCACCAAGACGAUGAUUGGUAGGGGAACUGAGAGGUCAAUCCCCCACACUGGCACUGAGAUACGGGCCAGACUCCUACGGGAGGCAGCAGUAGGGAAUAUUGGGCGAUGGGCGGAAGCCUAACCCAGCCAUGCCGCGUGCAGGAAGAAGGCGUUAUGCGUUGUAAACUGCUUUUAUAUAGGAAGAAGAAGCCCAUGCGUGGGAAAGUGACGGUACUAUAUGAAUAAGCACCGGCUAACUCCGUGCCAGCAGCCGCGGUAAUACGGAGGGUGCAAGCGUUGUCCGGAUUUAUUGGGUUUAAAGGGUGCGUAGGUGGUUUAUUAAGUCAGUGGUGAAAGACGGUCGCUUAACGAUUGCAGUGCCAUUGAUACUGAUAGACUUGAGUUUUGUUGAGGUAGGCGGAAUUGAUAGUGUAGCGGUGAAAUGCAUAGAUAUUAUCAAG